rnacentral:rRNA from 1 species
AUAUCAAUAAGCGGAGGAAAAGAAACCAACAGGGAUUGCCUCAGUAACGGCGAGUGAAGCGGCACCAGCUCAGAUUUGGAAUCUGGCCCCGUACAGGGGUCCGAGUUGUAGUCUGGAGAGGAUGCUUCGGGGGUGGGCCGGGCCCAAGUUCCUUGGAACAGGACGUCAGAGAGGGUGAGAGUCCCGUCUGUGGCCUGGUACCCUCCCCCGGGUGAAGCUCCCUCGACGAGUCGAGUUGUUUGGGAAUGCAGCUCAAACCGGGUGGUAAAUCUCAUCUAAGGCUAAAUACCCGCCAGAGACCGAUAGCGCACAAGUAGAGUGAUCGAAAGAUGAAAAGCACUUUGGAAAGAGAGUUAAACAGCACGUGAAAUUGUUGAAAGGGAAGCGCUCACGAUCAGACUUGCCCGGGGUUCCUCAGGCGACGGUCCGCCGUCGACGCACUGGGCCACGGGCAGGCCAGCAUCGGUUCGGGUGGCGGAAGAAGGACCUCGGGAAUGUGGCUCCUCUCGGGGUGCGUUAUAGCCUAGGGUGUGACUCCGUCGACCGGACCGAGGCCCGCGCUCCGGCAAGGAUGCUGGCGUAAUGGUCGCCAGCGACCCGUCUUGAAACACGGACCAAGGAGUCUAACAUCCACGCGAGUGUUUGGGUGUCAAACCCCGACGCGUAAUGAAAGUGAAUGGAGGUGGGAAUCCGCACGGGUGCACCAUCGACCGAUCCUGAAGACCACGGAUGGAUUUGAGUACGAGCGUGGCUGUUGGGACCCGAAAGAUGGUGAACUAUGCCUGAAUAGGGUGAAGCCAGAGGAAACUCUGGUGGAGGCUCGCAGCGGUUCUGACGUGCAAAUCGAUCGUCAAAUUUGGGUAUAGGGGCGAAAGACUAAUCGAACCAUCGCCGCUAGGUGGUUGAGAGGCGGGUAUCCAAACCCAGCCUAGUCCCCGCUCACGGGGCGACACUGUCAAAUUGCGGGGACACCCUGAGAGCUCGGACGACCGCAGCCCGACCGCAAGGUCCGGGAUGCACCAGGGACGCAAAGGAACCUGGGUGUAAGGGAGAUGGCCGAGAUUGGGCGAUCCGCAGCCAACCCCCUCGGGCCUUGCCGCUCAGGGGAGGGGUUCACAGACUAGAUGGCAGUGGGUCCGACCCGUCAGGGUCGAUCUAAGGUAUAGUCGGACCGCCGGGAGACCGGUCGGGUCGACGUGGUCCCGCUCGUGGGGAGCGAUCCGCGCCGCGCCGAGGCGCCGCGGACCGCGACGGGGCCUACGUCAUCCUGGGGGGCCGCCACCCACCGCGGUGCUGCCCUCGGAGCGAUCGCUAGUAGCUGGUUCCUGCCGAAGUUUCCCUCAGGAUAGCAGUAACGUGUGGCAGUUUUAUGAGGUAAAGCGAAUGAUUAGAGGCCUUGGGGUUGAAACAACCUUAACCUAUUCUCAAACUUUGAAUAUGUAAGAAGUCCUUGUUGCUUAGUUGAACGUGGACAUUCGAAUGUACCGUUACUAGUGGGCCAUUUUUGGUAAGCAGAACUGGCGAUGCGGGAUGAACCGAACGCGGGGUUAAGGUGCCGGAAUGCACGCUCAUCAGACACCACAAAAGGUGUUGGUUCAUCUAGACAGCAGGACGGUGGCCAUGGAAGUCGGAACCCGCUAAGGAGUGUGUAACAACUCACCUGCCGAAUGAACUAGCCCUGAAAAUGGAUGGCGCUCAAGCGUACUACCCAUACCCCGCCGCCAGGGUAGGAACGAUGCCCUGGCGAGUAGGCAGGCGUGGGGGUCCGUGACGAAGCCCCGGGAGUGAUCCCGGGUCGAACGGCCCCUAGUGCAGA